GCCACCUCCAACCACCAACCCAUGUGACAAUCUGUUAAAAAUACACUGCACAAGGGCUACAAGUCUUAAUAGCCCCUUCCCUUAAUUAUAUAUACAUGCAACGUGUUCCAUGCCUCAGGAAUUAAUGGCAGAUGGGCCUGGAAGCAUAUGAUUCCCCAGACUUUGAAGGACAGAACAGGCACCUUCCUCCUAGUUUCCUUGCCGGUUGGGCACUCACGUGAAUUUCAAGGCCUUGCCUUCUAGGUUUGGCCUAAAAGUUUAUAAGGAAUCCAAGCCAAUGACCGCAAAUAUACCCAUCCGAAGGCUGAAGCUACAGAAAAACAUGCAAACAAGCGGUUGAUCGUUUUCCAAUUUCGACUGUCUUACUCUAGAGGGCAGCAUCCACUUGUUUCACAAGCCAAUCAAGUAUUGAAUAUCCUCUUAUGGAUUUAAAGAGGAUAAUUUCAAUAGUUAUGUUCAACUAUUCACUCGCUAAUUGACGCAUAACUUCAAUUAAUUUGAGUACAAUUUGUCUAGAAUAACACUAGCCAUGUAGAAAAGAUAAAAGAACCAACAACACUCCUUCCUUUAAUGAUCCAAGUCUGGGGCACAAUAACAAUACCAACUCACUUGCAUAAAUUAUCCAAGAUUACAAAGAUCAUGGGAAAAAAAAAAAAUUAUAUAUAGGUUGCAACCGCAUUGCCAUGGUUGCAGUGAUGCUGGCGGGUAAAUCAUAUUUCUCCUGUAUUAAUUAUGAAUGUUGACAUGUGGCUCAAUGCUCAGUGAAUCUCUCAAGGACUUCAAAGUAGUCG
rnacentral:misc_RNA from 1 species